rnacentral:rRNA from 1 species
GACGAACGCUGGCGGCGUGCUUAACACAUGCAAGUCGAACGGCAAGGCCCUGCUUGUGUGGGGUGCUCGAGUGGCGAACGGGUGAGUAACACGUGAGUAACCUGCCCUUCACUUUGGGAUAACUUCAGGAAACUGGGGCUAAUACCGGAUAGGAGCUCCUGCUGCAUGGUGGGGGUUGGAAAGUUUCGGCGGUUGGGGAUGGACUCGCGGCUUAUCAGCUUGUUGGUGGGGUAGUGGCUUACCAAGGCUUUGACGGGUAGCCGGCCUGAGAGGGUGACCGGCCACAUUGGGACUGAGAUACGGCCCAGACUCCUACGGGAGGCAGCAGUGGGGAAUAUUGCACAAUGGGCGGAAGCCUGAUGCAGCAACGCCGCGUGCGGGAUGACGGCCUUCGGGUUGUAAACCGCUUUCGCCUGUGACGAAGCGUGAGUGACGGUAAUGGGUAAAGAAGCACCGGCUAACUACGUG